AAGCCCACGAAUACAACUUAUUGGUUUGGAGCUCCUCUUGAGAAAAAUGAACCACCCGUUGCAGGCUCCUCCACCCACAAUCGUCACCUUCCCCGUUGAAAAGUCGGUGAACUCGUUGAGAUUGAUGAAGUCGCCAUGGUAAUUCGGGCAUUAUUGUGUUAUUGACUUUCACUUCCGUAGUUCUAAGGGAGUAAGAAGCAUUAUUGGCGGUGGCAGCCGGUGGUAGAGAGCUGUUGUGGCAGUUUAGGGUUGGGUUUGGAAUCAUAGGAGAAGAUGAGGUUGCUUUAGUAAUUUCAUUGAAUAGCUAAUUUGUAAUAGUAUUAUUAAUUAUUUUUUUUUUUGUAGGUACUGAGAACAUAAGG
rnacentral:lncRNA from 1 species